AAGCGCUUGCAAUCAGACUUGCACUUGGUGUUCAUCAGGGUCUCGUACCCUGUGUACUUCAUCAAGUUCAGGCCAGCAUCAGUUUGAGUGGUUAGAUAAAGGCUUAGAGAAUGUGGCCCUCUUCGGGGGGUGUCAUGCGGCCUCCCGGGACUGAGGAACGCGCUUCGGCGAGGAUGAUGGCGUAAUGGUUGUCAGCGA
rnacentral:rRNA from 1 species